rnacentral:rRNA from 1 species
GCAAGAAGGAAACUCAAAGAUGUUGGCGGGGAUUAACACAAACGGUGGAGCAUGUAUCUUAAUUUGAUACUACGCACAAAACCUUACCAAUUUUUGAUGUUUCUCGUUAUUAAGGAAUACCCGUGUUGCAUGGCUGUCGUAAGUUCGUGUAGAAAUACGUUAGGUUAAGUCCGAUAACGAACGAAACCCUCUCUUUUAAAUGAAGUAUUUGACGAUGAGUCAAACAAAAAAGGAUAAUCGUCAAGUCAGUAUGACCGCUAUGAAUAGGGCUGAAUAUGUGCUACGAUAGGAGUUACAACAAGACACGAAAUUGUGAGUUAGAGUUAAACUUAAAAAUUUUUAUAGAUCGAAUUAUUUUCUGAAACUUGAAACUAUGAAGAAGAAAUCGUUAGUAAUCGUAAAUCAGCACGUUACGGUGAAUUUGUAACUUAAUCUUGCA